AAGAAUGCUGCUUUUGAAUGUGCUGAAGAAGAACUUCUGCUAUACGUGGAAUGACAAUCAGAAUUUGGAAAAAGAAGCUGAAAAACCACAGCUGCAUAUGCAACUGGGCCUGUGGUUAGCUCCCUUGAUAAGAUACUCAAUGAGUUCAGUGUUCAGAGACAGGUGUACCUUGGCAAAGCCUUUGUAGGCAAUUAUGUCCCUUGAAGUGAUAGAGGCCUCACCAGAGCUCCAUUAGAUGCAACUGAAAGACACCUGACAGACAACAUGUCCUUAGGCACACAAGAAAGGCUACAGCGGAAUGCUACAACUGUUGAGUAUUUUUGUGAAAUUCUCAUGAAAUUUGAAGAUGUCAACAUUUGCAUCAACCACACCCGCCCAGUCAGUGGUAAUGACAUCCAUUGUACAGGUAACUACACCAGCAUACAUCAAUGAGUGACAUCUUUAAGCGCUCAGUGGUACCAUUCCUUCAUUUUGUAGAAGUGGCUAAGAAGGAGCAGUUAACCAGCUAUCGACGAAUUUUCCUUGGUGAAAACGUCACUCCAAAUCUCCACCGACUGCACGAUUACAGUGUUGACCAACUGCGUCAGUUCAGAGCAGGUUUUGGCCUUCUCAAUGAACAAGGUGGCAUGGUUAUCCACUCUGAGGUUUAUAAAAUAGGCCAAGUAGUCCACGGCAUGAAAAAUGAUGUUGAGCGGUUGAUGACAGCCAUGAGGCUUCAUCAUGUCAGCACAACCUCUGAAGUUACGUUGUCUAUGGUAAAAUUUCUCGUGUACGAAACUACAGGGAUGAAAUUGUCAGUUUUGAAAAAUAUCUGAAACUGUGUAUUAAGAGUCUGUCAGAUGCAUUUCUUUAUACAUGAAUACCAAUAAUGCUUCUAUUGGAUUCAAAAAUCUGAAUUCAGAGAAAUGUCUGAAAUAUCUCAUGCCUGAAACUACAUGGUGGGUUACAUGAUGAUACAUACCGGGUAUGUAAAAUGGCUUCUCUGUUGCAGAAAAAUUGGAUCAAAAAGUCAAUUUUAUAUAUGCUUACACGUAUUUCGAAUGUUACACAUAACAGAUAUGUGCCUUCACAGUCUGCAUACGUGUUGUACACGCUGAUGGGUGUCCAGCAAAUGAGAAAAUUAAAGGUUUCACUGUGGACACUGCAUACAUGUUUGUGUGAGUGAACUAUAACGGGGAUGUGAAGGUACAAGUACAUUAUUUUGCUUUCACAUCUCGUGUGUUUAGGGCCGACUGGAAAUGUGGCUGCAGGGCUACAUGAAUUUAACCACAUCAUUUACAUGGUUACAUCACCGCACCUGUACAAUGUACGUCGUGUAAUAUACAUGUACAUUUAUGGUAGUCUACGUGUAUAACGUACAAUAAUAUGGUUGGUAUAGGCCUAAUUUGUUCCGUGGGUUUUGCACGCAACAUCCACAUAACACUGCCUUUGGGACAGAUUGCGUAGGUAUUCUUGAGAAAUUAACAAAAAAUAAUUUCAAAAGCAGAUUAGCUUAGAUCAUUUAACAUUAAAGUAGGCCUCUGUGUUUCCAAAAAGAUGGGUAAUUUCAUUUUUUUCAGAUCACACAGCUUUAGGCCUAAAUUUGUCAUGUCAGUCUGUGUGGCUACAUUCCAGGUAUAAUAAUGCGUUAAAAACCGCAGCGUUUGUAUGUACAUGUAAUGUAAACCAAAAAUAGCAAGUACAUGUGUGCGCCAAUAGCAUCAUCAUAUUUUUAUAAAAUGCACGUGAUGUACAUGUACGAGUACAUACAUUUGCAUGUACUGUAUGUAAGCCCACGUGUACAUGCUCAAUGUAGCCUGAUGCUGAAACUAAAAUUAUGAAGACUGUCCCACGAAUGCUCUUAAAACUGCCUGUAAAGGAUACUUACA
rnacentral:lncRNA from 1 species